rnacentral:rRNA from 1 species
CACGUAGGGCGCAAGCGUUGUCCGGAAUUAUUGGGCGUAAAGAGCUCGUAGGCGGUCUGUUGCGUCCGCUGUGAAAACUCAGGGCUCAACCCUGAGCGUGCUUCCGAUACGGGCAGACUAGAGGUAUGCAGGGGAGAACGGAAUUCCUGGUGUAGCGGUGGAAUGCGCAGAUAUCAGGAGGAACACCGGUGGCGAAGGCGGUUCUCUGGGCAUUACCUGACGCUGAGGAGCGAAAGCAUGGGGAGCGAACAGG